UAUGGGGAGUCGAAGGACUUGGUAUAUGCCACGGAACAAGCCUUGGUGACAAUCCUUAUUAUUAUUACUAUUAUUUUUAUUCACGAGCAAAGCGAUCGCGCGGCAGAGAGGCGGAGAACACCGCCCCGCAGAUGCCGGUCCCCCUUCUGAUCAGGGUACCACUUUCAGAUAAAAACAUGGACCUGAUUGGCAUCAUCCAGUAUCCAUGGAAACACGAGUGACAUGGAAAUGCAACAGAAAAGAUUUGUGAAUUAGCUCAUGAAAAACAACAACUGACAUGGGUUGAAUAUAGAUUGAUUGAUUGAUUGAUUGAUUGAUAGAUCCAUCCAUCCAUCUGUACACUGAAUUCUACAGAAGCGGAGACCUGGGUGGAUGAUUUAGGAGAUACAGCUGCUCAGACUGGUGCCAUGAGGAGAAGCUACUGCUUUGCUGCACUUGUGUGUCAAGAGGAGACUGACGAUUCAGUGUCUGAGGAGGGGAGCCUUCCAGACCCAGAUGCCGACUACCUAAACACAUCUCGCGAUGAGGAGCUGAAGAUAUUUAUAUGUACAGAUGUAUCUAAAUAAAUUGAGGGGCGACUCUGUGUUUCGGCGACCACACUAGGACCUGUAUUCUGAUUUUGGGUUUGCCUCAGUAAACCUCUCUAGCGAUCUUUGUUAUGUUUACUUCUCAGUUUAUUGUUCCUUCUUUGUCCCAUUUGGUGUGCUUUUCGUGAUCAUAUCAGAUUUGCACACAAACUGAUGUGUGUUCGUUUGUUCAUUUUAAGUCACUGCAGGGUGAGUUUGAAGUGGGAAGUAAAUGGGUUGUUUAUUUUAUUUAUUUUUUAAGAAAAAGGAUGAUAAAAAGCUUGAGAAGUCGGUAUGGUACUGUGAAAUAAUAUAGGGAUUUCACAGCUGCUGGGGAGUGGACAACUGCAGACACUCACUAUCAGCUGGUACAGGACACUUUUGAGCCUCAUUUAGGCAUGCUCCUGAAUGGUCCUGGGUUAAACUAGGGAUGAGGGCAUAUGGAAGUCCAACCACCAACAAGGGUGGUCUGGAAAGGCUAAAGCUCAGGGGCAGAGCACAUGUGAAGGUAUUGUGUCUCAAAAACCAUCCAGAUAGAAGUCUUGACAAUGACAAUCAGAAGCCACGCCUUGUCUCUACAGCCAUCACAAUGCCACUGAGAGCUCCUCUAGUUUCCCCUUCCUCUGUGUUAAUCUUCUAGCUCUCUAGAGCAUUGCCACCAACCUACAGGGCAGUGUAGAGGUGGCUCAGAUAUAUAUAUAUAUAUGCGCUUGUAUAAUGGCUCUGGGCUGUCUGUUUGAGAAAACUGACAUUUCCUGGAAGCCCUGGAAGUGUGCCAGAACCCAGGCCUGCCUGAGAAGCCUGCAUUAGGCUAGGACCACAAAGGGGGGGAAAUACCUCAUAGGAUUUAGCACCACAUAUGAAAAGCAGAAGUCUCCAGACCAUCUACUUGGCCUUCUCCAAGAUUUUCCUAGAACACCUUUCCCCAGAACAAACUGCUGCUCUACUCUAGGUCUUCAUGCCUGAGCCUCCUCACAGCACUCAGACCAUGACAGCUUAAUAAAUGGGCUGGGCCAGGGAUAGCCAGCACAGUCCCUUCAGAUGUUACUGGGCUGCAGUUUCCCUCAGCAGCAGUUCAGUGCUUUCAGUGGGACGCACGUUCUAUGACCGGCAGAUUGCAUUGGCACUCAGAUGUCCAUUCUGAUGCACAUUGGGAAGCACCUCCGAUUUAUGCCCAGUUCACACAACUAUGGGCCACAUGCUGCAUGUGUGUCCUGACUGCAGGAUUAAAAUGAAGCAGAAUACCAUACAAAAUUUUAAGGCACUUUUAAGGCACAGAUCAGCACUUUCCCAGUCCAUGACCAAGUGCCUCCCCCACUUUUUCUAGGAAAACCAACUCUGAAUCAGAACAAAUUACAAUUUAGGUUUUCCACAGAAUUGUUUCCAGCGGUAAAGAGAUGGCUUUCGUGGGGAAAUCACCUGGUCAAAACAAACAAACAAACAAACAAACAAACAAACAAGUGCUCAGACACUGAACUUUAAAGUGCAGCCCUGUGUCUAGAAACGUGGUACAAAAAGAAGUCUGGAUGAGCCUUAAGUUGCAAUACAGUAUGCAGGGUUCUCUUACAAACUGCAUUCAACAGUGUUGACAGUGGGCAGCCUACUGUCCCCAUUUAGCUCCUCAGUGAGGUGUGAAUAUUUUCAAGAUGACACAUAGUUUCUAUUGGUGUUGCCUCUAUGCUUCAUCAUACUCUGAGAAAUGAGCCUUAGGACAUUUCUGGAUAUGUUCCUGAUCUCCAUAAGCGGCAAAAGUUGCAAACGCAGGAGUGCAUAAGUGUUGGAUCACAUCCUGAUGUGUGUUGACAUACUGAUACGUAUGUUGCCAUACUGUUAUGAGUUUCUGAGGGGGCAGGUAGACUCCCCUAAAACUCUGGAUUCAGUAGAGAGCUGGAAUUCAAGCAAAGCCCUAAAUUCCUGGAUCUAGCAAAGGUUGGAAAUAACACAAGCCAGCUUCCUCAUGAGGUAUUCACUUGAUAAUGACAAAGUUGUUGACCUAAUGAAAGGUAGGCAGAUAGGGCUGUCAGUUUGCAUUUCUUAGUACAGAAAGUAUUGCUCUGAUGCGUAGAGAUCUUUCCUAUUCUGAUUAAUUCAAGAGUGUUCUGGAAGGUUCUUGUUUGGGUUAUUCCUUCUGAGAAGCCGAGU